rnacentral:rRNA from 1 species
AGUUUGAUCCUGGCUCAGGAUGAACGCUAGCUACAGGCUUAACACAUGCAAGUCGAGGGGCAGCAUGAACUUAGCUUGCUAAGUUUGAUGGCGACCGGCGCACGGGUGAGUAACACGUAUCCAACCUUCCGUUUACUCAGGGAUAGCCUUUCGAAAGAAAGAUUAAUACCUGAUAGUAUGGUGAGAUUGCAUGAUAACACCAUUAAAGAUUUAUUGGUAAACGAUGGGGAUGCGUUCCAUUAGGUAGUAGGCGGGGUAACGGCCCACCUAGCCUGCGAUGGAUAGGGGUUCUGAGAGGAAGGUCCCCCACAUUGGAACUGAGACACGGUCCAAACUCCUACGGGAGGCAGCAGUGAGGAAUAUUGGUCAAUGGGCGAGAGCCUGAACCAGCCAAGUAGCGUGAAGGAUGAAGGUCCUACGGAUUGUAAACUUCUUUUAUACGGGAAUAAAGUUUCCUACGUGUAGGAUUUUGUAUGUACCGUAUGAAUAAGCAUCGGCUAACUCCGUGCCAGCAGCCGCGGUAAUACGGAGGAUGCGAGCGUUAUCCGGAUUUAUUGGGUUUAAAGGGAGCGCAGACGGGAGAUUAAGUCAGUUGUGAAAGUUUGCGGCUCAACCGUAAAAUUGCAGUUGAUACUGGUUUCCUUGAGUGCAGUUGAGGCAGGCGGAAUUCGUGGUGUAGCGGUGAAAUGCUUAGAUAUCACGAAGAACCCCGAUUGCGAAGGCAGCUUGCUAAACUGUAACUGACGUUCAUGCUCGAAAGUGUGGGUAUCAAACAGGAUUAGAUACCCUGGUAGUCCACACGGUAAACGAUGGAUACUCGCUGUUGGCGAUAUACUGUCAGCGGCCAAGCGAAAGUAUUAAGUAUCCCACCUGGGGAGUACGCCGGCAACGGUGAAACUCAAAUGAAUUGACGGA